GUUUGAAGCAUGUUCAUGAUUAAAUCUGUAUGCUGGCUUAUAUGAGUGACUGCUCUCUGAUUGCGUUUUCCUCAGUCCUAGUUCUUCCUCUUCUUCUUCUUUUUUUUUUUUCUUUUCUUUUUUCUUCCCUUUCCUUCCUUUCUUUUUGGUUUAGAGAAGCCCUUUCAAUAUUUCCUUUAACCUGGGUUUUGUGUUGCUGUAUUCUUUAAGUUUUUGUUUGUUGGGAAAAAUUUUUAUUUCCCCUUCUAUUUUAAAUGAUAUUCUUGCUGGAUAGAGUAUUCUAGGUUGCAUAUUUUUUCCUUUGAGCACUUUAAAUAUCUCUUGCCAUUCCCUCCUGGCCUGUAGUGUUUCUGUAGAGAAAUCAGCUGAUAUUCUUAUGGGGGUUCCCUAGUAGGUAACAUUCUGUUUUUCUCUUGCUGCCUUUAGGAUCCUCUCUUUAUUACUAACUUUUGCCAUUUUUAUUAUGAUGUGUCUUGGUGUGGGUCUGUUUGGGUUCAGUUUGUUUGGGGCCCUCUGUGCUUCUUGUAUCUUGAACCCAGUAUCCUUUAGAUUUGGGAAGUUUCCAUCGAUAAUUUCUUCAAAUAUAUUUUCCAUCCCCUUUUCUUUUUCUACUCCUUCUGGAAUUCCUAUUAUGUAUAGAUUGGCCUGCUUUAUAUUAUCCCAUAGGUCUCUUAUAUUGCUUUCCAGUUUUUUGUUCGGUUUUCUGUCUGUUGACCGGAUUGAGUGAUUUCCAUUAUUCUAUCUUCCAUAUCACUGAUUCAUUCUUCUGCAUUAUUCAUUCUGGUUUUUACUGCCCCUAGUUCAGUUUGCAUCUCUGCAAAUGAAUGUUCUAGUUUUUCUUGGCUCCUCCUUAUAUUUUCUAGCUCCUUUCUGAGGGUAUCUGCAUUACUGUUCAUAUCUUCUCUUAAUUCCUUCAGUAUUUUCACGAUUUCUCUUUUGAACUCCAGGUCUGUCUGACUGCAGAGAUCUGUUUCAUUGCUGACUGUUUUAGGUGAGUUCUCCUGUUGGUUUGACUGGGGGUGGUUUCUCAGCUUCUUCAUCUUGCUUGUUGUUUUCUUUCUCCUGAGGGAGUUGUACUCUCCGUUAUCGGGCAGUGUUUGCCUUGUCACUGCCGUGGAAUAUUUCCUGAGGGCUGGCAUUGUUGGUCAAUCUUUUUUGAGGCAGUGUGGCUUCUCUGGAGUGUUAAUGGGGCUAACAGUGUUUCUUUGAAGCAAAGGAGGACUUCCUGAGGGCAGACAGGACUGGGAGGUCCACACCACGAUGGUAGCAGAUUUCACUUGGUCAUGCAGAGCUUGCUCUGGUGUUUUUAGGCUGUGGGGUUCUUGCAGGGGGUUGGCGGUGUUGGGCAGCUGCUCUUCAGGGGGGCAUCACCCCCUGGGGGCUGGGGCAGCUAUCUGGGUCACUGAGAACCUAAGAGGCUCUUCCCUAGGGCAGCCCAACUCAGAAGGACAGCCUGAGAAUGUAGGCGGAUCUUUUCACAGUCUGGCCGAGCUUGUUGCAGCUUUUCUGGGCUGCAGGGGCUCUUCCAGGGGGCUGGUGGUGCUGAGCAGCUAUUCCUCGUGAGUGGGGCACCCCCUGGGGGCUUGGGCGGGUAGCAGGGCCCUUGGAGACUCAAGAGGCUCCUCCCCAGGGCAGCCCGACUCAGAAAGACCGUCUGAGAUCUUUUCCCGACUCGGCCAGGCUUGUUGCAGCUUUUCUGGGCUGCAGGGGGUCCUGCCUGGAGCUGGCAGUCCUAUGCAGCUGGUCCACUAGGUCUUAGCACCCCCUGGGGUCUUGGGCGGGUAGCAAGGCCCUUGGAGACCCAAGAGGCUCCUCCCCGGGGGAGCCCGUCUCAGAAAAACCGUCGGAGAAUUAGGUCGAUCUAUUCACGGCCUGGCUAGGCUUGUUCUAGCUUUUCUGGGCUGCAGGCCUUUUCUAGGGGGCUGGUGGUGUUUGGUGCUGCUCUGUGGAAGUGUAGCCCCUCCAAAGGGCAAGCAGGCCUGUGCAGGGAGAGCCCCUGCGGUGGUAGGCUUCAGGCAAUUGUUGAGGCCAGCCCUCCUGGAUGGCAGUCAGCCCCAGGUUCCGCGAGAGCGUAGGGGGUGGCGGGGGUGGGGGGAGGGAAUGCACUGGGAAGCACAGCUUUCUGCUAGCUAGCGGGCCUGUAAGCUUGCUGUGGCGUGGGGGGUAUUCUAUGGGAACCCACCCCUUCUUUUCUCCGCUCCCCAGCAUGGGCGCAGACCAGGCUCUUCUCCCAGGUUCCCUCUGAGGCGGCUUUCCACUUCCCCGCCCCUAGAGUAUUGCUCCCUUCCUCUGCGACAGCUUUGUUUUCUAGUCUCCCAGGCAGUCUCUGCCCCGUCAAAUGGUUUAGAGACCUCCCAAGCAGUUUCCGCUCUUCCCCGCCCCCCUAGCCCGGGGACUAAUCUCUGGAGCCGAGGUCUCGG
rnacentral:lncRNA from 1 species